rnacentral:tRNA from 1 species
GUGGCUAUGGUGUAGUGGCAGCACGAGAGUCUGUGGAACUCUUAGCGAGGGUUCGAAUCCCUCUAGCCACC